rnacentral:rRNA from 1 species
AUGGGCGACUCGAGGAUACGGUCGUCUCGAGGAACGUUUCCCCAUCCUGGUAGGCUAUCUAGUACGACCUUUGAGCUCCUGAAGAAGGGCAUCAUUUGGCUAGUCGGCGAUGGCCAAAACAUUCUCAUUUGGCGCGAUUGGUGGAUCCCGAGAGAGCCCUCGCGCCAACCCAUCAUGCAGCAGGGUACAUGUCGCAUCAGGAGGGUGGCAGAGCUCCUGGAUGGAGGGGGCUCGUGGCGCAUGGAUCUUCUUCAGCUCUACUUCCUCCCGGCAGACGCCGACAUGAUCACAAGCACCCGAACAUCACCGCACAUAACAGAGGAUAUCAUCGCGUGGGCACCAAACAAGAACGAUACCACCACGAGCAAGGCACCGGAUGGUUGUGAAGAUCAUAUGGGGGUACCCUGCUCCCCUAAGGUAUGCAUCUUCGCAUGGAGAGUUGUGACCAAUUCACAUGCUACUCGGGCCAACAAAUUAUCACACCACCCUGCCUGUCGCCUGCGCGUGCCUUCUGGCAUUCGCACCACGCAGGACAACCGCAACCUCAAGCUCGAAUGGAUCGAGGUGCCGCGCGUCCCGGCCUCCCUGUCGGCGGAUGUGUCCGUUCAGAAGCUCCGCGACAACUAG